rnacentral:lncRNA from 1 species
GCCGGGAGCAGGGCAGGUAUGGGAGACAAAUGUUUGUUUAUAAGCCAAGAACAUCAAGCAUCGUGCAGAAGAAAUGUCCCAGAUUCUUUUUAUCACAGAGCUGGUGCCAGGCAGCAAGGAUUAGUUCAUUAAGAAAUAAUCCACCCAUUGGAGGGAUGGCUAAGUCUGCAGAUAGUGGACAGGCUCUUAUCCAAUGUCUCAUCAGCUAACAGGUGAGAAGAGGGGAGACUGGCAGGAGAAGAAGACAAAGGCUGGAUUCAUCUUUGCAACCAACAUGCUUAUGUCUAGAAAAGACCAACAACUACUAAAAAGUUUGGGGAAGGAUAUACCAGCUGCCAGUGAGAUGCCCAUUAAUCAACACAGCUGGAUUUUUGGACACGAUCAUGCUUGAAGGAGGACAGGAGACGCAGCCCAAGCAUCUUGGAGAACAAAGACACCAGUGGAUGUGGGGGCCCAGCAGAAGGGUAGUGUCCAAGGCCAACUCUACACUACGGUUACUGUUGGUGGCAAGACCUGCAGACAGGACAUGCUGAAAACAAAACCAUCACAAAAGGAACCAGAGAGAUGCACGAGAACAUCCUCUUUCUACUCCUCCAGCACGGUGAGUGGUGCCCUGUGAUCCCUUCCUUGUUCCCACUCCCCUCUCUCCCAUCAGCUCCUUGUUGGCUCCUGGGGGAUGUGUGUGCGAGGGUCUGGGGUGGGCACUUGAGUGAUGACGUAAUAAACCCUGGCAGAUGAAGGUCUUAGGGCUAGGAAUGUCAUUACAAGAAACCCUCAGGAUCUGGGAUAGGCUGGCAGGCUCCAGUACUAAAGUACAAUUGCAGUUUAUUGUUUGACAACUUCCAAAUGAAAGGGAAGCUCUGUCUAAACCACAAGUCUUAAGGCUCAUGAUGGGAGGCUGGCCAGCCACCAGCUACACCAAAGCUGGAAUUCUCUUGAGAUCCCGGGUAAGCCCAGCUUCCGAAUGUGCAUUUGUGUUUGCAGAGCAGUGUGUGAUGCCCACCCAAGCCUACGCACGUGUGAGGAUGGGCACAAUAAAUGCAGCUGAGAACCCCGAAACCAGACUGCAAAAACUGCACACACGCCUGACCGCAGGUAAGGAACAGAAAUGACGUUGUGGACCAGCAUCUGCACAGGGAGGCGCAGCACACAUAACACUACGUGGUGUUUUUCUUCAAUUGAU